rnacentral:rRNA from 1 species
GAAUUUUGGACAAUGGGCGAAAGCCUGAACCAGCAAUGCCGCGUGCAGGAUGAAGGCCUUCGGGUUGUAAACUGCUUUUGUACGGAACGAAAAGCUUUGGGUUAAUACCCUGGAGUCAUGACGGUAACGGCAGAAUAAGCAACGGGUCACUAAGUGACAACAGCCGCGGUAAUACGUAGGGUGCAAGCGUUAAUCUGAAUGACUGGGCGUAAAGCGUGCGCAGGCGUUUUUGUAAGACAGUGGUGAAAUCCCCUGGCUCAACCUGGGAACUGCCGUUGUGACUGCAAGGCUAGAGUACGGCAGAGGGGGGUGGAAUUCCGCGUGUAGCAGUGAAAUGCGUAGAUAUGCGGAGGAACACCGAUGGCGAAGGCAACCCCCUGGGCCUGUACUGACGCUCAUGCACGAAAGCGUGGGGAGCAAACA